CACGUAGGGCGCAAGCGUUGUCCGGAAUUAUUGGGCGUAAAGAGCUCGUAGGCGGUCUGUUGCGUCCGCUGUGAAAACUCGGGGCUUAACCCCGAGCCUGCAGUGGAUACGGGCAGACUAGAGGUAGGUAGGGGAGAAUGGAAUUCCCGGUGUAGCGGUGAAAUGCGCAGAUAUCGGGAGGAACACCGGUGGCGAAGGCGGUUCUCUGGGCCGACACUGACACUGAGAGACGAAAGCUAGGGGAGCAAAUGGG
rnacentral:rRNA from 1 species